rnacentral:rRNA from 1 species
UACGUAGGGCGCAAGCGUUGUCCGGAAUUAUUGGGCGUAAAGAGCUCGUAGGCGGUUUGUCGCGUCUGCUGUGAAAACUCGAGGCUCAACCUCGGGCUUGCAGUGGGUACGGGCAGACUAGAGUGCGGUAGGGGAGACUGGAAUUCCUGGUGUAGCGGUGGAAUGCGCAGAUAUCGGGAGGAACACCGAUGGCGAAGGCAGGUCUCUGGGCCGCAACUGACGCUGAGGAGCGAAAGCAUGGGGAGCGAACAGG